rnacentral:rRNA from 1 species
AUUGAACGCUGGCGGCGUGCCUAAAACAUGCAAGUCGAACGAGUGGCGGACUGGUGAGUAAUUUCUGUGAAACUGCCUGAUGGAGGGGGAUAACUACUGGAAACGGUAGAUAAUACCGCAUACCAUCUGAUGUGCCCAGAUGGGUUUAGCUAGUCGGUGGGGUAACGGCUCACCUAGGCGACGAUCCCUAGCUGGUCUGAGAGGAUGACCAGCCACACUGGAACUGAGACACGGUCCAGACUCCUACGGGAGGCAGCAGUGGGGAAUAUUGCACAAUGGGCGAAAGCCUGAUGCAGCCAUGCCGCGUGUAUGAAGAAGGCCUUCGGUUUGUAAAGUACUUUCGGUGGGGAGGCGUUACCCGCAGAAGAAGCACCGGCUAACUCCGUGCCAGCAGCCGCGGUAAUAC